GAUGAACGCUGGCGGCGUGCCUAAUACAUGCAAGUCGAGCGAACAGACGAGGAGCUUGCUCCUCCGACGUUAUAGGCGGACGGGUGAGUAACACGUGGAUAACCUACCUAUGAGACUCGGAUAACAUCAGCAAACCGGAGCUAAUACCGGAAAAUAUAUUGAACAGCAUGGUUCAAUAGUUGAAGUAGGUUUUGCUGUCACUAAUAGAUGAAUCAGCCGCUCAUUAGCUAGUUGGUAAGGAAACUGCUUACCAAGGCAACGAUGGAAAGCCGACCUGAGAGCGUGAUCCGCCAGACUGUAACUGAGACUCUGUCCACACUCUGGCGGGAGGAAGCAGUAGGGAAUCCUCCGCAAUGCGCGAAAGCCUGACGGUGCAACGUCGCGGGAGUGCUGAUCGUCUUCGGAUGCGAAAGCGCUGAUAUUAGGAAAGAAGAAAUGUUCAAGUAGCUAUGCACGUAUUGACGGUACCUACACAGAAAGCCACGGCUAACUUCGUG
rnacentral:rRNA from 1 species